rnacentral:rRNA from 1 species
CCUACGGGAGGCAGCAGUGAGGAAUAUUGGUCAAUGGGCGAGAGCCUGAACCAGCCAAGUCGCGUGAAGGAUGAAGGAUCUAUGGUUUGUAAACUUCUUUUAUAUGGGAAUAAAGUGAGGUACGUGUUUCUUUUUGUAUGUACCAUAUGUAUAAGCAUCGGCUAACUCCGUGCCAGCAGCCGCGGUAAUACGGAGGAUUCGAGCGUUAUCCGGAUUUAUUGGGUUUAAAGGGAGCGUAGGUGGUUAUUUAAGUCAGUGGUGAAAGUUUGUGGCUCAACCGUAAAAUUGCAGUUGAUACUGGGAGACUUGAGUACAGUUGAGGUAGGCGGAAUGCGUGGUGUAGCGGUGAAAUGCAUAGAUAUCACGAAGAACUCCGAUUGCGAAGGCAGCUUACUAAACUAUAACUGACACUGAAGCUCGAAAGCGUGGGGAUCAAACAGGAUUAGAUACCCGGGUAGUC